rnacentral:rRNA from 1 species
CAGCCGCGGUAAUACGGAGGGAGCUAGCGUUGUUCGGAAAUACUGGGCGUAAAGCGCACGUAGGCGGCACUGCAAGUCAGGGGUGAAAUCCUGGAGCUCAACUCCAGAACUGCCUUUGAUACUGGAGAUCUUCGAGUCCGGGAGAGGUGGGUGGAACUGCGAGUGUAGAGGUGAAAUUCGUAGAUAUUCGCAAGAACACCAGUGGCGAAGGCGGCUCACUGGCCCGGUACUGACACUGAGGUGCGAAAGCGUGGGGAGCAAA